rnacentral:lncRNA from 1 species
GGGAGAGAGAGAAAUAUUUUCAUCUAACAGUUGACACCAGAAUCCCUGGUAGGGAAAAUACCACUAUGAGAUGCUGGGAGACAGGAGAGAGUAUGAGGAAGUCUCCGGCCACGUGCAAAACCGUGGCUGACAGAAACUCCCCAGGAUGGGGAAGCUGAAAGCCCUUUGAGAACCAUCACAUUCCACUUGGAACUGUUGGCACUGCCCCACAGGGACAUUUCCUUGGCCUCGCUGCCACCCGCCCCAUCCUCAGCAGACAAGGCUGUAUCCUGGGCGUCCUCUGUGUGGUGUUCUGUGGCGUUAUUAGGGAGGAAGUGGUAAGAGCUGUUUGGUCAGAUGAAGGAGCUUUCUUCAUUCUUCGCCAACUUGUGCCGUCACUACCCCUUGUCCCAGAAUGAGGAUCCAUGCCAAGGAGGGGAACAGGGCAUGGGGGGCACCUGACAUUCGUAUGCCUUCCAGGAGCCCUGCACGUGUCAUCUCUUUUCAGCUUCAGAGAAAUUCCAUGAGGGAAACAUGGCAAAUGCCUACAAGACCUGCAUCAAGCCAUUCCUGCACCUGGAGACACAGGAAAUGGAAAAGGCCCACACGAGGUGAUGUCCCUGGACAGAGCACC